rnacentral:rRNA from 1 species
GAUGAACGCUGGCGGCGUGCCUAAUACAUGCAAGUCGAGCGAACGGACGAGAAGCUUGCUUCUCUGAUGUUAGCGGCGGACGGGUGAGUAACACGUUGAUAACCUACCUAUAAGACUGGGAUAACUUCGGGAAACCGGAGCUAAUACCGGAUAAUAUUUUGAACCGCAUGGUUCAAAAGUGAAAGACGGUCUUGCUGUCACUUAUCUAUGGAUCCGCGCUGCAUUAGCUAGUUGGUAAGGUAACGGCUUACCAAGGCAACGAUGCAUAGCCGACCUGAGAGGGUGAUCGGCCACACUGGAACUGAGACACGGUCCAGACUCCUACGGGAGGCAGCAGUAGGGAAUCUUCCGCAAUGGGCGAAAGCCUGACGGAGCAACGCCGCGUGAGUGAUGAAGGUAUGCGGAUAGUAAAACUCUGUUAUUAGGGAAGAACAUAUGUGUAAGUAACUGUGCACAUCUUGACGGUACCUAAUCAGAAAGCCACGGCUAACUACGUG